GACUCUUUGGCACAGCGGUAGCGCGUAAGAUUCCAAAUCUUAAGGUCAUCCGUUCGAAUCGGGUAAGAGUCU
rnacentral:tRNA from 1 species